rnacentral:rRNA from 1 species
UACGAAGGGGGCUAGCGUUGCUCGGAAUCACUGGGCGUAAAGCGCACGUAGGCGGCUUCUUAAGUCAGGGGUGAAAUCCUGGAGCUCAACUCCAGAACUGCCCUUGAUACUGAGGAGCUCGAGUCCGGAAGAGGUGAGUGGAACUGCGAGUGUAGAGGUGAAAUGCGUAGAGAUGUGGAGGAACACCAGUGGCGAAGGCGACUCUUUGGCCUGUAACUGACGCUGAGGCGCGAAAGCGUGGGGAGCAAACAGG